UUCGGCCUCACCAAGAAAAAGAGGAAAGAAAGAAAGAGCAAAACCCUAGUUAGAAAAAUUCAAGAGAAAAUUUUGGAAUUUCAAGGAAUCAAGUGACAAAAGGUAAGAUAUUUCAAUUUUAUCUUGAGAUCUAUCUUUCCUAAGCAUUCUUUCUCAUUUUCCAUGGUUGAAAUUCAUGAUUUCAUGACAAAUCCCUUGUUGGCCGAACCUAGGGGGAGAAGAUUUGAUGAUGAAUUUAGUUAGAACACAUGUUAUUCUAGUGUUUUUAGUUGGUUGGUGAUGUGUAGCAUGAAAAGCAAACAAGAAAAAUUCAUGUUCUUCCAUCACCCUCAUUGGCCGAAUCUUCCUUAUGGCAUGUUGAUGGUGGAUUUGAUUUUAUUUCAAGUGAUUUGGUUAAGAACUAAUGAUUUAUGGUAUAAAAAAAAUCAAGUAUGAAAAACCAUAUUGUUUAUGCACCCACCAUGGCCGAAUUUCAUAAGGAACCUAGUGAUGAUGAUUCUUGUGAUAUCUUGUGUUAUUUAGUUAGAAUUUAAUGAAUGGUGGUGAUGAAAAUCGAAAAUGGUAAUUUUAAAGUAUAGUUCUUUUAGUAAAUAAGUUGAAUAACAAUGAGAAAGUCAAGCUCAUUGAGGCACUUUGGUGUAUUUUGGGUCAUUGGAAGUGUGAUGAAUAUAAUUGGAGUCAAUUUGGAUGUUUUGGUUAAAUCAAAGGUGGAAAGUUCGAAUUAGGUCGAAAAUCGAUCCAUUUCGAUCACAAUUGAACCAACGUGUAACACCGUCUUUAAGUGACUAUCCGAGCAACCUCAUGCAUUCAUAUAGAGCCUGAAAUAGAUUUAUAAUGACAUGACACAAUAUAUUGAAUUAUUUGUUAUGUAUUGUGUAUAGGUGGUGAGUCUUCUAACAAGGGUAAAGACAUUGUGCCAGAGGACCAAGAGUAGGAGUAUUUCGAACUCCCGAUAUCGUGAGUAACCUUAUUAUCAUCUUAAUUAUCUAAAGUAGUUUUUAUUCGUUUUUGUGAUUUUAUAGAAAAAUGAGUUUAAAUGGUAAAUCCUUAUGUUUUAUAAGUAAAAUGUGAUUAAAUUAAAUGAGUUUUAUAAAUCAUUUUGAAAUUGAAUGAUGAUUUUAGAAAUUGAGUAAUUGGAGAUUGUUUGAUUGUGUUGUAAAUUUAUGGUUUGAAUGGCUGAAUUAGAAAUUGUGUUGAAAUUGUAUGAACUGUUUGUUUUGCCUUAACAGACUGGGUAGUAAUAUAAUUGUCGUGUCAUGCUGUCGAAACUUUUAUUGAUUAGUCACUGCAGUGGUGGGUUUUCGUGGACUAGCCUAUUAAAGAGGGGCACGGUAAACCCAGUUAUAUUUUAUCUCGGUACGAAAGGCACAGAGGGUAUCUUCUGAGGUAAAGCUUUAGAGUUCACUACACGUUAAACCACCACGUGAGGGUGAACUCAGCCAAUGCCAAGGAACGCCUAUGCUUUUAAACGUAAAAAUGUGUUUUAUGUGUAUAUGAACUUUUCUUUAAUAGCCUUGGCGGACUCAGUUAGAGGCCUCGACCAAGGUAUCCCUGAGAAUGAAUUUUGGCACGAGCCAAAUUUUUAAGAAACUCAUAAGCCAUGUUGAUUAUUUGAGUGAAAUGAAUUUGUUUUGUUUAGUUGAAAUGAGUUUGAAACGUUAUGAAUCAUAGUACGAUGAACUAUUUUAAGUUGUCUCCAUUUACUUGACUUUAGAUAUUUUAGAUGAUGUUGUUUACUCACUGAGUUUAUAUAAACUCACCACCCUCCUUUUCACUCAUUUCAAGCUCAGGUUAGUCUGUAGAUAGCUGAUUUCGUCGAGGGCUACAGUUGGAUUUGUAUCUUCAAAAAUCGUAGGUUCGCAACCUUCAUUACUUUUGGUCAUUCG
rnacentral:lncRNA from 1 species